CCUACGGGUGGCUGCAGUGGGGAAUAUUGGACAAUGGGCGAAAGCCUGAUCCAGCCAUGCCGCGUGUGUGAAGAAGGCCUUCGGGUUGUAAAGCACUUUCAGUGGGGAAGAAAGCCUUGGGGCUAAUACCCUCGAGGAAGGACAUCACCCACAGAAGAAGCACCGGCUAACUCCGUGCCAGCAGCCGCGGUAAUACGGUGGGUGCGAGCGUUAAUCGGAAUUACUGGGCGUAAAGCGCGCGUAGGCGGUCUGAUAAGCCGGUUGUGAAAGCCCCGGGCUCAACCUGGGAACGGCAUCCGGAACUGUCAGGCUAGAGUGCAGGAGAGGAAGGUAGAAUUCCCGGUGUAGCGGUGAAAUGCGUAGAGAUCGGGAGGAAUACCAGUGGCGAAGGCGGCCUUCUGGACUGACACUGACGCUGAGGUGCGAAAGCGUGGGUAGCAAACAGGAUUAGAUACCCUAGUAGUC
rnacentral:rRNA from 1 species